CGGACGGGUGAGUAACGCGUGGGUAACCUGCCUCAUACAGGGGGAGUAACAGUUAGAAAUGACUGCUAAAACCGCAUAAGCGCACAAGACCGCAUGGUUUGGUGUGAAAAACUCCGGUGGUAUGAGAUGGACCCGCGUCUGAUUAGCUAGUUGGAGAGGUAGCGGCUCACCAAGGCGACGAUCAGUAGCCGACCUGAGAGGGUGACCGGCCACAUUGGGACUGAGACACGGCCCAAACUCCUACGGGAGGCAGCAG
rnacentral:rRNA from 1 species